rnacentral:lncRNA from 1 species
CACGUGUAUAUUUACUGGUAACAUUCCCAAGUUAUAUCUCUGUGAGAUGGAACACAGAGAGCAUAACUGGGAACCAAAUUUAAUUUUCUAUGAAUAUUCAAGUUCUCCCCAAAAGAGGCGUGGUUUGAGAAACAGCUGUAUUUACAAAGUGCAACCAAAAAUGAGCUUAUUUCUUUUCAAAACAUUGUCUUGACAUACAUACAACACGGAAGCGCUUGAGACAAUUGUCUUUUGAUUUUUAAAAAGACUGUACUGUAAAACGUGAUGUUUUUUUCUUUAUGAAAUAAUGUCCAUUAAUUACAGAUGUUCCAUCAGAAAAAGUCGACCCCCACUCAUUAGUUUCUUCUCCUGUUAACAUAAUUAUGACUCCCCGAUGUAGCUUUAAGGAGGAAGAGACAAUUUUCCUCAUCAUCACAUAAAUUGCAAAAAAUUGACCGGUAUUUAUCAUAUCAACGAAUGUCUCAUAUCUGUCAUCUUCUAAUGUCUCGUCCUCUGAAUUGGAAUCCUAGCUCUCGCUCUACUUUGACUUCCAACGAAAUGCCAACUAGAUCAGU